rnacentral:rRNA from 1 species
AAUCUUACCGGGUCCGGACGUAUCGAGGAUUGACAGAUAGUUAUACAUGCCCUACAAGCAAGUAGGAGUCAGGUUUUAAACCUAAUGGCUCUUUCAUGAUUAUAUGAUAGGUGGUGCAUGGCCGUUCUUAGUUCGUGGAGUGAUCUGUCUGCUUAAUUGCGUUUCAAAUUUUUAACCGAGGACCGGGUUUUGGUUUGGCUAGUGGUCCUACGAUGACUGUGAACUGUCAUGUCUUCGGAUGUACGACUAUCGGUCUAGGAUCACAUGACUUGCCCCUGGGACUCUUUUGAACGCAACGGACGUGAUCGCAACCCCUUGUUGAGAUUAGAGAUAGUCUCGAUAUUCACUGGCCAAACUGGCUGCUUUAUGCAGUCUUGUUGAAUGGUGGAUAAACUCGGGGGACUGCUGACUAUAACCAUUUCUCAAAACAGAGGAAGGUUGCGGCAAUAACAGGUCUGUGAUGCCCUCAGAUGUCCCGGGCUGCACACGUGCUACAAUGAGUGGCGCAAUGUGCUAAUGUUUUAAGGGAUAAGCGUGCGGCCAGUAGAACGUCGGCAAUUGCCCUGGCGUCUUCUACCGCACGAUUAUCAGCCUUCCCUUAACAGGGCGGGCAACCUUUUCAAAAUACCGGUUUGAUGUUAAAGUAUAGAGUCGUUUUUUUUGGAUGGUGGUUUACGAACCAAUACCAUCCGCAACUGCUCGCGAGUUUGUGGUUCUGGUGACUCAUGGUGGGGACCGAUGUUUGUAAUUGUUUGUC